AUAAAUCAAACACUAGGCAAUUGUCAAUAAUAAUAAUUUGCACACAACCAGUGUUGUAUCUUUAAGCAUGUAUGAUCAUAACCUGAAAAUGUGAACGUUUUUAUUAUUUAAAUAAUGUAGAUGUUGUUUUUUGACUGAGAUGCAGAAGAUCCCGGCAGCGACGAUCAACAGAGAUCCAGCAGAAACAGAGACCAACGUGAUCAGAGACACUGAGUCUGUAACAAUAAUCAUUCAUUAACAUCAGUAAGAGUGACAGCAUCUCCCUCCAUCACCGACACCGACUCACCGAACACACCUGAAGAAUAUGAAGACAGCGUUUUUUUCAUACAAAGCCAGAAAGCAGCUGCUAUUGACAUG